AGAGGGAGCAGGGAUCCUGAUGGUGCCUGGGGCUAUGAAGGGCUGCAGGACUCAGCUGUCAUGGUGCUAGCCUUGGGCUCAGCUUGCUUUAGACCGAGCACGAGAAGGCAGCACCCAUUUCAGCAGCAGCUUGAACGCAUGCACAGCACAAAAUGACACCAGUAAUUAGGCUUGGAGGCACGCAGCCUGUUACAGAGCCUGGCUGGUCCCGGACCGUUUGUCUUUGGUGUUUGUGAGCCAGGAGCAAUUACUGAGCCAGCAGCUGGAGGUGGAAUUGAGGAGUGAUUCACUGCAGAGCCCCGCUAUGGCCGGGCAGGCACCACACGAGGAGAGGGAGCAGUGAUGCUGCCUGCUCUGCUCCCUUGCAGUUGGAAAUGCAACAUGCUGCUAAUCAGCCAGGUUGGGGUAAGUGCACGGGCACCAUAACUUGUGUCGUGUGCUCCAGCAGCAGAAGUCCCGAAGGGCAGGCGGCAACUGAUGGCUGCGUCACCAGCGUGCCCUUGGGUGAUGCUGGGCAAUGCUCCCAAGGUUUGGGUGAUGGAAUAAGCUUCGCUUUGGGCUUCAUAGUGAUCAGGUGAAGUUUGGGCUGAAGGCAUAGGAUGGGCACCCAAGGGGGCAGGGAGCUCCGGGCCAAGCGCUGCUAUUGCAGCAAAGCAAACCUGCACCAGCAGCAUCUCCUGGUGGGAAUAAAGCCAACGUGGAUGGAGACGCUUUGCUAGGGAACAACAGAAACGCCUUUCAAACACAACUGCUUGUAAAAUAGGCUGAACCAGGCCAAAAUAAAGUUCUUAGUGAGCCUCUUCCCCUAGAACAAGGGAGUUUGUAGGGUUGGCAUGUUUGUUUUAAAUUGGGCAGGGCGGGCACCCCACAAGAAGCGAGCUGCAGCCUGGGCAGGUUCAACACCCACAAGCCCAAAGCACUCAUGCACACCAGGUUGCUUUGCUCCGGGCUAAUUCAAAGCCAACUUUUGCCAAAAGCAACGUGUUUGUGCAAAGGGCUGCAGUGAGGUGGCCUUCAGUGGUAAAAAGAAAAAAAUAAAGCUUUUGCCAAAGAAAUUUCUCCCCUGCUGCACUAAUGGCCUCAGAGCACUACAGGGCACCUCCUCAAGGUUCUGUGUAUCUAAGGCCAAAUCCUACAGGCUGCAAGAAUUGCCUUUAAAGUGCUUAAUUAACUUUACGGGAAAAAAAAAAUCCAGCUCCUGAAAUCAUGCGGUUGCAAAUAGAUAACGUUACUUCUGCAGAGAAAAGCACCAUUUUGGGGUCAACACCACCACCAAAACCAGCAACUAAAUACCUGCUCCUGUUUUCUCUUGAAGUCCGUCCGUGUGUCCCGUCCCCCCCCCCCCCCCCCCCCCCCGACCCUGGCAAACCAAGUCACACUGCUGUGAGUGCAGGGGCUGACAUCAGCAAAGGCUCGGCACAAGCGGCAAGGGAAGUGAAAAAGCUUUGCAUCUGUGUAAGGCUGUAAAUUUGGGUUGCCAAACAGGAUACGGGCUGGGAAGGCAGCUGGGCGAGGAGGCUGCGGGUGCUACUCACCCUUGUGCUUGGGUGCGUUGCUUGCUGUUGAUCAUAACUAAAGUGGGGUAUAGAGGGUUAAUGUGCUUGUUUGACGGCUGUGCUCAGAGCACUUCAUUGUUAUGGGGGUUUUGGUAAGCCUUGAGGUUUGGUUUUGCUAAAAAGAAUGCUGAUGGUUUAAAAAUAAUAAUAAUAAAAAUAAAACAUGGUUAUGUAUGCUGGGGAUGUUUUUUACAGGGCAGCGGUGGUCCCAUCCCUGCAGAAAAAGCUGGGAUCUGGGCGAGACCCCAGCUCAUGUUCAGCUAUAGACCAGGCUCGGUCCCACUACGUGUUCCCCGUGUCGGCAACUUGCAACUCCCUGUGUUCUGCUGGAGACCAGACCCUGUCACCUCAGCUUUCUGAGGCUGUGCGAGUGCCAUGUCUGCCUUUUUCCUCCAGUUUCUUUCCCUUUAGCCUAAAGUCACUGCCGUAGGAUUAAAAAGGAAAAUU